rnacentral:misc_RNA from 1 species
CGGCUCGAGGUACUCUUGAAGCCGGCAAAACAGACCAAAGGACUACAACGCAAACAAGCUGACAUCCGCACUCGAAGGUGCUGCUGCACCCUCUUGCAUCUCACGCGCUCUCUCUUCCUCGACUCACCCACAGAGACACACGCACGCGCAAAAGAGGUGAAGCGAAGCGAAAACCGCCGAAGGCUCCACCACCAUCAUCGCCGCCUCGCCUGUCCACCACCACCUCCUCCUCCCUCCUCUACUCUGUCCCUUCCUCUCCAUGUGGCAGACUUGGCGGGGGCUGAUUCUCUGACAGCUGCCGCUCGCUGAUCGUCGUGUCUUCUCUUUUUCGUUUUGCUUUCACCCUACUCCUCGAUAACUCUUUCUGCCGCUGCCACCCUCAUCUACGGCCCGCCUUUCCACGCGCACGCAUACACACACAGCCCUCCUCCCGAGCCGCCGCCGCCCUCCCAACUCUCUCGAAUGUUCUUUUUCGAGGUUGAAGUGUGUUCUUGUCGCGCUUCUCGAUUCCCUCCAUCGCCUUGAGCCUCUCCCUUUUGUGUUCCGAUUUUCUUGUGUACUUCUAUCUGCGUGUCUGUCUGUGUGUGUGUGUGUGUGCGUGUGUGUGUAGCUGGGCGCACGCGUCAUCUCAUUCUUUUAGCCCUGUUGUUAUCCUCGGAGAGCAUCCUCGAGUACUUGGUGUCGGUGUUGUAUUUGAUCUGCACACGAGUGCCGCACCCCACCUAAACCCCGUCAUCAUCAUCAUAUUUCACCCGACCCCUCCCCCCACCGGUACACGCCCACUUGUCUGCCGUCAAUUAUUCUGUCUCUCCUCACCUCUCACUCAUCCCCCCCACCCUACUCCUUCCCACCUUUGACGCGAUGCCGGCGUGUCCCGAUUGCGGGCUUAUGUUCGACUCCCUCCACAAUGUGCAGAUACACCGUCGGUCUGGCGCAUGCUCGAUGCAGUCGUUAGGCGCCCCGGCGGCCAGCCCAGUUCAGCAGCCUAUGGUCUGCGCCGCUGGCUGUCCGGUUACGCCGCCCACGAGCGUGUUGGGCCACGUGAGCAGCAUCGGCUCUGGUGGCUACAGCCACGGGAAAGGUGGCUUUGGCAUGCAGAGUACACCGGUGCUCCCCGCAGCAACCGCGCGGGUGCCUUGCAUGAGUCCCAUAGAGCGUGAGAUUGAGCAAGCGCUGGCCAUUCAGCGCAAUCAGCAAACGGCCGACAUGGCGGAGCGGGAGCGCAUGCUGCUUGAACAGCAGGUAAACCUGGUUUUGCCGGCGCGUCAAGCACAGCUGCAGCAGUCGCAGCAGGCGCUGAAGGAUCAGCUGCUUCAGAUGAAGCUGCAGCUCUUCUCUAACCAGCAGCAGCAGCAAUCUAGCAGCAACAUGGACAUGGAAUACCUGCGAAAUGAAAUCGCGGCGAUGCGCGGCGCUCUCUCCUCGAUGGGCAUGAACUGCACCUCCAACAGCGACCCUGGCCUGCCAUGGCGGAAGCCGCACAAGCCGCAGCACCGGAAAGCAACGUCAGCGCGCACGAGGAAUGUCCGCAGGAGGCGCCAGCACGGAUGCCACAUCGACGAGGACGAUUCUUGGGGGAGUCUUGAUGGCGUUCUCUGCAGUGACGAGUAUGGCGACGACCGCGGUGAAGCUUGCGAUAGGGAUUCAAGUAGCCGUAGCCCCUCACCGCGAAACGCCCGCCUCUUCAGCCCGACGCCGUCGCAGAAAAUCCAUAGCGCGCUGAAAAGCAUGCAAGCUGAGAUUCGCAGCUUGCGGGCCAUGAGCGCUACCCGCAUGGAGCCGGCGUUCCCCACCGCCUCGAUGCUGGAGCCGGGCCUGCACUUGCUCAAGCUUGCCGCCCUCGAAGGCAUCGCCCUUGCCGUCCCUCUCGACGAGGUGGAUGUGUCGAUCAAGGUAUACUACAUGUCGCACGUGCACAACGAGUAUCUGCUCGAGCCCUAUCUCGAGCGCAGCUACCCACGGCGCCCCCCGUCGUUGGUCCGCCAUGACGCCAACACAAUGCUGUUUACGAUCCCGCCGCUGGAGUUCAUCGUGCACUCACCGAAAGAGAUGGUCGUGUUCGUGCUGCAGGUGUUUUACCGCGGCCGACUGCUCUGCUGGGCCGCCAUCUUCGCGAAAUCCACCGGCAGCUUCUCCGAGGGCAUUCGGAACAGCUGCUACGACCUCGCCAAGGCCCUGCAGACACCUGGUGGUAUGAUCCCCGAGGCGAGCGUGUCAGGUUACAUCGAGACCGACUCGCUGGACGUUCUGCAGCACGCCGAGUCGAUCCUGAACCCGAGCGCCGUUAGCUUCAGUGCUUGCCCCGGCUCUCCGUUCCCGCAGAGGCAGCAUGUACAGCUACCUGGACUACCACCGCUGCCGCCGCCACCGCUAGGUCAGCCGCUGCUACCCGGCAUGCCCGGUUGCGAGGGGCCAUUUUUGCCGCCCACGUCAGACGACCACAUGAUGCUGCUGCAACCCACCAAGGGACCCGUCGCACACUUUAUCCUCCCUCCGCGGGCUGGGGUGUCGAUCUUGGAGUGGAACCAAGAGGUGGUAAAGCAUCUCAAGAAGAUACAGAAGCACCUACCCAGUAAGGCCACCGCGCCAGCAGCGGAAAAGGGUGCCGCCAACGGUAAGCAUGUCAGCAACUGGAAGCCGCCAGCGUCUCCGCCGAGUCAGCGGCAGGUAAUGCUCGAUAGCAGCAGCAGCGAUAGCAGCGUGCAAUCGUUCUCUCCACUUUCGUCCAUGUGUAUAUCACAGCCCACCUCCAACGGCAGCCCUUUGAGAGACCCCCCGCUUCCUAUUCACGGCCAGGCCGAGAUCAUCGGAGAAGACAUGAGCAAGCAUCCUCCUGUCACGAGGCAGCAGCAGCAACGUCGUAGCCACCGUAGUGCCGUAUACUUUACAAAGGGCAUCUCGGAGGCUGUGACCGCUGCUGAGGUACCCGCGGCGAAGUCGCCUACGAUGUCCAUUCGAAAGCCGCAGGAGCCCGCGAAAGUGUCUGCGGUCGCCGCGUUGGCGAAGGAGCCGCUCUCGACUUAUGUGCCAUCAUCCCAGACGCACACGCCGCCGCCGUCGACCAACGCCUCCCUCGCCAAAUUAGAAGCCAAGGAAGUCGCAGCUGAGAAGCUGCCCGACAAUCCCAAGUCACAGAUGGCGAGUACUUUGUCGCCAUGCGUUCCUUCCGCGGACAAUCAAGCCGCCCCCCUUCAAGCCGCAACACCGCCGCCGGCACCAUGCAAAGUUCCUCGGGAAGACAUGCCACUGGUCGAGCGCAGCCGUCUACGCGUUUUGAUGGACCCGCAGGGCAAUCUCGCGGUGCCGCCAAACUACAAGCUGAACCCCAACAACCCGCCUUGCGUGAACCUCCACAAGCUCCACGCCACAGCUGACCCGCCUGUAAACCCAUGCGUGCUGCUUGGCCUCUCGAAGCCGACCGAUAGGCCGCCAGCGACGCUGACGAUGCCUGGGCACGGAGAGAAUGGAAGCACGGUCGAUAUCUUCGUGGACGGUGUAUCUGGCGUCCCGCUCGACGCGGUGUGCUCGCGUGUGCUGGUGUACAUCACCGACGAACUGGACCUCAACACCGGUGGCCAUCUGCACCCCCUUCACCACCCUCGUGUCUUCAUGCGGAAGCCGAAUCUCGUUGCCUAUCAGAAUCUCACCUCGAGCAGCAUCGAGCCCGUGUUUGAGGCAAAGAUGAGCUCCAACGUCGGCGAUCAAACGCACGCCGUCGUCAUUGUGGAGUACAUCAACGGCCGCCAAGAGUCACCGAUCGUGCUUGGACACUGCUGCUUGCCGAUUAGCAAGCGCUUCUUUGCCGGCAACUUUGUGGCGCGCCUGAAGGUCGGCGAUCCCCGUCGCUCGCAGGAGCGGGCCGUCGACGAGAUGCGUUCGCCUUCCCGCAUCUCCGACGAGCAGAAGCGUGCCACGGAGAAGUACAACCAAUCGCAGCUGGAGGCAAGCGUCGACUCGCAGGCGCUGCGCAACUUGAUGCCGUUACCACCGUCCAAGCUUUCCGAGUGCGCACCGCUCGGCUACCUGAUAUGGCGCCUAGAGAGCCCCGACAUGCGCAGCCCCUUCUUCGAAAUGGCGCAGCAGGUGCCUCUGUCACAGCAAGAAGUGCAGCUCUUCGAGGACCGCAAGAAUCACGCGGAUGUGACGCCGAACUCGAAGGGGCUGACGUCAGAGAAGGCGGCCGACGAGGCCUUCAUCGGCUCCGGGACGACGCAGACCGACUCUAUAAGCUUCAUUGCCCCCUUCAGCGAGCAGCGCGGCGCCUUCGUAAAGGUGGAGGGCAUCCGAGGCGUGGGCGAUGACGCAGCCAUGUACGUCGUGGUGGUCUACAUGGCCAAGGCGCCGAAGGGCCGCCGGGUAUACUACACGAUGAUGCUCGACUGGGCCUCGGACGUUGGUGCUCCGAUGUUUAAGGACCCCCCAUUUGCCUUCCAAGGUAUCCAGUACGACAAAACAAACACUACGACGUACAUGCUGCUGAAGCUCUCGAGGUUGGAGAACGCGGCCAACCCGCCGUUGGUGGAGUGCAUCGGGUGGACCAUGAAUAAACUCUUCAUAGACUCAGCGCCGGCGCUACGCCAAGGACGGUAUGUGCUGCCGUGGUUGAAUGGGCCGCUGCCGCCGGUCGUAGUCCAAGAGCUGCUCACCCAACAGAUCGGCACCGUGUUCCUCAGCCGCAUGAACGCAAAGACCAUUGCCUACCUAGAGCCCAAGGCCACACUGACCAUCAGCCAAGGCGACCCGGCGUGCUGCAUGGCACUGGUGGACAACACGCCCGGUCGCGCGCAGCCGCGUCAGCUACUCGUGUCCGCCGCUAUCAAGAAGGCCUUUCCCUCCUGCACAUGUGAGGGCAUGGUGGGGUGCACGCUGAGAAGAGCACAUGAGAAGUGCUUCGGCGGCGGCGACGCGCGAGCCCUGCUGCAGCGCAUGAACAUGGCGGUGCAGGAAUACCUCACUGCAAAAAUGAAGGAACUCGAGGAGCUGUGAAUGAGCACCACUGGCCAGCAGACGCACGCAAAAGAGGCAUUGCUGAGGUGCAUGCCAACUUGUACGGACGUUGAGUCGCUCCUGUGGUAAAGUCUUGUCGAGGAUCUCCUCGCCACCCCUCCCUCCCUCUCUACGCCAGCGUCUUCGCGAUGCAAAGAACACGAAUAUGAUUGCACGUCGUUGUAUCUCAUAUAUAUUUAUAUAAGCUCCAUAAGCUUUUUUUUUCGUACUUCCGGAUGCCACACGCUCUACCAGGGAUCGUCAAGAGAAAGCUCGCGCAUCUUCCGGGCUUCUCUCCUCCACACCUUGUAUUAUCGCGUCUCCAGGCACGGCGUCGCCGCCCUCCACGCCCCGCCUAACAUGAUGCCGUCUUCGUGCAGCUCACCAUGUAUGUAUAUAGGUGUGUGUGUGUGUGUGUGUGUGUGCUCGAGAGCAGCAUUGCAUGCAAUGUAUUUUCGAUGUCGAUAACAGUACGAAAAAAAAAGGACAAAAAGCAUAUGUCUCACUCGCUUCUUUUUUUUGCCUUUGGGCGCGUGUGUGUUGUACGCGGAGUCCAUCAGCUGUGCGUCGCUUGCUUAUUUUUUUUGCCUUCCUUGCUCUCUCUCCUCUCGGCACAAUCGCUCUUAUGCAAUUUGUUUUACUCUUUUGGGGGGCUGAGGAAAGCCUUCUUUCAGAUUUCGAGAAGCGGGCACACGAGUGCAUCGUUGAAGUGCCCGUGUGUGCGUGUGCGUGAGAGAGAGGAGGACACCGCUCGCCCGCCCACCCCUCUCUCCGCACAAACACACUCUCUCCAUCCAUCCAUCUCCCCAUCCACUCCUCUUUCGAAUCCUCUGUGUGGCCUGCUGGGGUGUCCGUCACCUUCGCACCGACACCCUUUUGGUCGCUUGUAAAUGUCGCGAUGAUUUUCUCUUCUGUGGUUUGUUGUUUGCUGUUGUUUUCCUCUCCCCGCUUCUGCGCACGUCAACACGGAUCAGCUCACACGCGCACGCCCUGCUUCUCAUGGGUCCCGAGGGCGGAAGUCCCGCUCGCCCGUGGAUAUCUAUAUACCUAUCUAUAUAUAUAUAUAUAUAUAUAUGGGUAUAUAUAUGUAUGCGUGUGUUUGUAUGUUUGUUUGGAUCUGCUUCAUGGCAAACCCCGUCGUUUGCCGGCGCACGUAUGUAUCUAGCUUACGCCCCCCGGGCGGUAGGGAGAGGCAGAAGGGAGGGAGUGGAGGGGGUCAUGUUUGUUUGUUUUUUUUUUGCGAGUGAAAGGGCAAAGAUGGGCAGCGUGUGUCUGUGUGAUGUCUGUCUGUCUGAUGUGUAUUCAUGUAGAAGGAUUAGGAAGAGAGGAGGGGGCGUCCUUCUUCCUCUCCCGACUGUCCUUUCUCCAUGUGUAACUCUAUGUUGUGACAAGAUACCACGAAAAAGAAAAACGAUCCGAGCAUACACGUGUGUGCAGUCUCUUACAUGUACGACUGUAUGCUUUUUCUUCGCAAUGUGGGCCAACCUCUUUCGCCAUCUGUAUUCUUUUCAUUUUGCCCGAGUUAUGCGCACCUGUGUCGUUGUGUGUGUGGGUGUGGGUGUCUUCUUUUCUUCUCACCCCAUUCUCUCUCUUUGUAUGUGCACAAUCAUCUCAAAUUAUUUUUUUUUUGCUUUUUAAUCCUCCGCUCGCAUCUGCAGCUGAGCUCUCCCUCCCCUCUCCGUUUCUACUCGUUGCGUUUCCCCCCCCCUUCUUUUUGUUUGUUUGGAAUUUGAAGCUCUUCGCUGUACAUGUAACAUCUUCAUCUUAGUGCACGCUUCAUCGUUGCACAUAGAUAGAUCUAUAUAUGUGCAUGUCUUAUUGCUGCUUUCUGUCGUCGUUGUCCGCGGUUGCCAUUGUUGAUGGUCCUGGGUUUGGUCAUCUCUUCUCCCGCUUCUACUUCCAACUUCUACUUGUGCUUAUAUAUGAAUGCAUACAUAUGUAUAUGUGUAUAUGGGUGUGUCUUCCUGUGCAUCUUGAAAGGCGUAAAGGCACAGCGGCGACCUCAGUCACAGUUCACCGCCUCUUGUGUUUUUCCCUGUUGUUUUGUUUGUGUGAGCUUGUCUCGAUACCUCUCUGUAGUACAUGGAAACGUGCGCGAGACACACGCACGCACAAGCAUGCGUAUACAUAUACAUAAACACAUGUGUAUGUAUGUAUACGCAUGCGUACAGGUGCCUACUGUUAUGCACUGCCUGACGUUGUGGUGGUUUGCUCACUUUAAGAAAUGGAUCACGCAUAUGCUCACAUUUUUCUUUGUUUGGAGGGCUUUUCACUUUCUUUCAUCCCUCUCCCGCUCUCUUGAGGCAG